rnacentral:rRNA from 1 species
AAUUGCGAUAAGUAAUGUGACUUGCAUUCAUUUGUGAAUCAUCGAAUCUUUGAACGCACCUUGCACUUGCAGAGUCUAUCUGCAAGUAUACCUGUUUGAGUAUCAUACACAUUUAUCCACGCGAGUGGGAUUUGGGGUUCAGCGCGCGCGCCGUGCUGUUGCCUAAAAUGCAGCGAGGAACGAGGGCGACGUGGUCGUGCUCUUACGUGAGGAUGUUUGUGCUCCGGCGCAAAGUAAUCACAACGGGAGAACAACCGCCGAGUUCUGCAACGUUUCUGGUCGUGACGCCGCGAGGCGCCACACUCUGUACACAAUGUGAUCUCAAAUCAGGCAAGAAGACCCGCUGAACUUAAGCAUAUCAGUAAGCGGAGGAAAAGAAACUAACAAGGAUUCCCUCAGUAAUGGCGAAUGAACCGGGAAGAGCUCAAAUUUAAAAUCUGGCUGCUUCGCAGUCCGAGUUGUAAUUUUUAGAGGCGUUAUCGAGCGGCGCGCGGGACGACCAAGUUCCUUGGAACAGGACAUCGUAGAGGGUGAGAAUCCCGUUGGUCUUUCGGCGGCCGCGCAUGAGGCGUCCUCGACGAGUCGGGUUGCUUGGGAAUGCAGCUCAAAAUGGGUGGUAAAUUUCAUCUAAAGCUAAAUAUUGGCAAGAGACCGAUAGCGAACAAGUACCGUGAGGGAAAGAUGAAAAGAACUUUGAAAAGAGAGUUAAACAGUACGUGAAAUUGUUAAAAGGGAAGCGCUUGAAGCCAGUAUUGUGGCGCUCGGUUCAGCCGUGAUUACAAACAUGUGUCGCGGUGCAUUCCGGGCGGCGCAAGUCAGCAUCAGUUCGGCGCGGCGGACAAGGGCGCGAGGAAGGUGACGAUCCGCUUCGGCGGGUCGUUUUAUAGACUCGUGCUGAUACGCGGCGGCGGACUGAGGACGGCAGCGUGCAAGGGUCGAGUUGUGCCAUGCGGCGGCGCGCGACAAAGACUGCACGCAGACUUUGUGGCGCGCGGCUUCAUUCGUGCAAUAGACACUCCAACGCUCAGGAUGCUGACGAAAUGGCUUUAAACGACCCGUCUUGAAACACGGACCAAGGAGUCCAACACCUGUGCGAGUAUUAGGGUGGCAUAAACCCUGGUGCGCAAUGAAAGUGAACAGUGGGAGCUGCGCAAGCGGCGCACCAUUGACCCCGCGGAAAGGCAUUGCUGGACCGUCGGGCGUCGGAGCACAGUUGUUGGGACCCGAAAGAUGGUGAACUAUGCCUGAAUAGGGUAAAGUCAGAGGAAACUCUGAUGGAGGCUCGUAGAGGUUCUGACGUGCAAAUCGAUCUUCAAAUUUGGGUAUAGGGGCGAAAGACUAAUCGAACC